CACGUAGGGGGCAAGCGUUGUCCGGAUUUAUUGGGCGUAAAGAGCGCGCAGGCGGUCGUUCAAGUCGCGUGUGAAAGCCCCCGGCUCAACUGGGGAGGGUCACGCGAUACUGAUCGACUCGAAGGCAGGAGAGGGUAGUGGAAUUCCCGGUGUAGUGGUGAAAUGCGUAGAUAUCGGGAGGAACACCAGUGGCGAAGGCGACUACCUGGCCUGUUCUUGACGCUGAGGCGCGAAAGCUAGGGGAGCAAACGGG
rnacentral:rRNA from 1 species